rnacentral:lncRNA from 1 species
CCCAGAAUGACGACCUCAACUGUAGAAACAAAGCAUUAGAAUCACAGCAAUAUUGAGUCAGAAUAACCACAAAGUACAACUGAAUAGUAAUUGAUCUACUUUUCAAAAAACAACAGCUCAAAACUUGAAUGUCAAUAGUGUAUUGUUGGCAUAUAAACUGAAGCAACGCAGUUGAGUUAACUAAAGCUAAAACUUUUGCAAAAUUUCCUCAACGGUUAAGAAAAACUAUAGUAACAACCAAUUAAAGAAAUGUGGAAAUCUUCAUUGUUGAGCGAAAAAUGAACAAUGCAGGGUUGUGAACAGCAAGUAUGAAAUCCUUUAUAGCAACAGAAAACAAGCAGCAAAUUAUUUCCCAACAAACCUGCAACUUAACUAACUGGACAAUAGUUUAUGUAACGAAAGCACUUAUUUCAACAAAGAGAACAUUUUAGAAGUAAAAACCAGAUUUCAAACUAUCACUGCUAAACUCGCGUAGAAAUCUUAGCGGAGACUAUUUCGGCAGAGUAAGCUUACUGUAUAUUCAACCAAAUUACAAUUCAAGCAUGCUCAAACUUUAGUCCAACUGAAUCCCCUCUAUUGAACUCAACAAUAACGACAACUAAUAAAAACCAGUGGUAACAAGUUCAAACUAGGAGAAUUUCAGCUAUCAAUUUACUCCAAAAACUUCACAAAAUGGCAAACUUCAACAAGACAAGCUUUGGAACUCCACAGUCUUAGAACAAAGAUAAUUGGUGUUCAAUGCAGGAUUUUCUUCAAACAUUGGCCCACGAACAACUCAUAGAUUGAAUUAAAAUAGCAAAACAAUGCUCCAACAAACAAAGACUGAUCUCAAUAGAACUUCCACCAGCAUUAAAGAAGUUUGACAAGAGAAUUCUAACUUGAACUCUAAGAAUUUCAAUAGUAGAGUCCAUUGGCACAACUCAAUUCACACAAUUUCCAACAAGCAACUUCUGAAUUCUAAAACUAACCUAUGUGGCUAAAAGUAGCUAGAAGUGCAAAAUUUGGCUAUGACCCCGAAAAGCCAAGAAUCAGGUUUGCUUAGUUCGGGCAAAUUGGAUACGGACAAAAAAUAAAAAAAUAGCUAAUUUUUAAAGAAAACAUUUUCUUUUGUCUCUUUUUGAAAAAUGAUGAAAUAUGUAAACUAUUUUUUGAUUUUCCCUUUUUUUUAUUUUCAGGAAAUAAUAAAAAGUGCGAAAUAUUCUCUUCUUUUUUUAUUGAAUUUUUCACAUAUCCUUUGUCUUUUUUUAAUAAAAAUAUUAACAAAAACAUAAUUAAAUCCUACUUGCUUUAUUUUCACCCUUCACCCUCUUUUCUUUUCAUUGUUUUUCAUUUUUUUCUCAUUUAUUAUUUACCCUCAGCUAUCAUUAGUCCGCCAAAUGAUCCGUUCACCCUUGAAAAAAUGCAACAUGUGGCAUACAAAAUGCAUCAUGAUGGUAGUUUAAAUUAGGUACACCUUUCCUAGACGGACCCAACCCCUGUGGUGAGUCCCCUAAGUCAAAUGCAUGAUGCAAAUAAGCAUUCCUACUAGGGAUCCGACAUGAGGAUGAGUUAUUCUAGGUUAAAAACCUUGGUAUAUGUUCUAGACAGUGUACCCGAGCGGAAAACUUGAGUCGAGGAAGGGGCUACGUACCGGGGACCCGCAAGAUCGUUCGGCUUUGUAACUUGUCUGAUCCUCUUUCUUAUUUUAAGGUAUGACACUAACAAAAUAGGGAGUCGACCUGCGAGCACAUCCCCGAAGAUAAAGAGAGAAGGGUUUCGUAACAGUUUAUACACAAUUCAAAUAAUAUCAAAGCGGUAAAAGCAUCAUUUUGCACAUUAAGUCAACAUGUAAAAUGACACUAACAGAAUAGGGAGUCUCAACCAGUAAGCACAUCCUCGGAGGUAAAGAGAGAAGGGUUUCGUAACAGUUUGUAUUCAAUUCAAAUAAUAUCAAAGCGGUAAAAGCAUCAUUUUGCACAUUAAGUCAACAAGUAAAAUCAAAUAAUAAAAAAAGCCAAAGACAACAAUUAUUAUAAGCUUGAAUUCUUGAACCCUGAACCAGAGAUUCUGGGUUCGUUCCCCAGAAGAUUCGCCAAAGCUAUCACACCUCCUUUUUGCUAUCCACAACCCGGCGAAGGGCGUAGAUAAGGGAGUUUUUCAAUUAAAGGACAAUCAAAACGGGAUUCAAUUAUUUAAGAGAAUUUCAGAGUCGCCACUUGGGAGAUUUAUGGUGUCACAAAUCACCGUUUAGAAUCCCGAAUCGAGGAAAGAAUGACUAUGUUUAACAAUCCGCGAACCAAAAAUCCGAGUAGGGAAUUCUGUUAACCCGGGAGAAGGUGUUAGGCAUUCCCGGGUUCCGUGGUUCUAGCACAGUCGCUCAACUUUCAUAUUUGGCUUAAAUUAUCUGAUUUUAGAACAUGUUUUGACUUAUGUGCUUUUUAAAUUUACACCGCUUUUAUUAUUAUUUUAAAGAGAAUUGCAACAUCGUUAAAAAAUGCCUAAAACCACGUCACAUAAAUGCACCCGGGGAUUUUGACACAUUCCAACUUUGUUGAGAUUUUGAUUUGGGUCACAUAAAUGUGCACUCUAUUUAGGAAAGUGAAUUAUUUAACUAGCGCGCCUAAAAUGAAUAUGCGCUUGCAAGUUUGCAAGGGCCAUGGAAGUUUGCUAAUGGCGCACCUCGAGUUCUAAAGAAAAGAGUUCCCUUUAGCUAAGGAAAACUUUAACACUCCUACUUAUAAAAAAACUAAGUAUCACAACCACGUCACGGGAACCGUACCCAUGGUUGUAAUAGGAAUAAUUCCAAACCAGCACAUAACUUCAUUUUAACUAACACCCUAGAAAGAGAUGUCUGACCCUUUAAACACAUGUCUAUCUACUAAAGAUGCAGAAUUCACCAGAUAUGCUGUGAUUUUACUCAAAACAGUCUAUGUGAUAUACAACUAUGCUCAUUACUAUUCACAAACAACAAAUUCAAACUGUUGCCAAGUGCAUCAAUAAACUUACCAAACCAUUACGAAAAGACUAGCCUUAUACUAACAAUGGUAUCAAACAAAGCAAUAUCUUGCUAGAAGGUGCAAUGUGACAUGUUUAGGUUUAGACAAACCAAUUGGGGAAACAUGACCAUUCAGUUCCAUAACUCAAACUAUUUAUGUUGAAUCCGAACGUGGGCAUCAUGUGAGUGCAUCAAUCUUAAUUGGGUAUAGUUGUGGCCUUGUAUUUGGAUUGGCCCUACUGUAUCUCAUAUACUGUUUUGAAAGGCCAAGAUGAAAAAAUUAGCAGUAAAAGGGAAGACAAUAUUUACGUUGCUAAGUAACCCAUAACACCAAAAAUUGAUGGCUUGUCAUACUAGCUAGCUACAAAGUAACAUGCCAAGAAUAAGUUGUUCCUAAACAACUAACAAGCAGAAAGGUAAUACAACUCAACUUGUGCAAAUUCCAAACUGAAAAGAGGGAAAUAAUGAGAAAUGAUUGGCAACUUUCACAACAAUUCGUUUGAACUGCAUAUGAUCCAAGCAUCUGGAGAAUGAUUCAUGAUAGUAGUGGAGCAUUAUCGAAUUCAUUAUGUGAGAUAUACUAACAUGUGAGUCCCUUGCAAUAUUGCCGCUCGCAGGCACAAGUAAAACAACAGACAACAACAACAACAACAACUACCCAGUGUAUUCCCACCAGGUGGGGUUUGGGGAGGGUAAUAUGUAGACGAGCCUUACCCCUACCCGACAGGGCAGGGAGGCUGUUUCCAAUCGNNNNNNNNNNNNNNNNNNNNNNNNNNNNNNNNNNNNNNNNNNNNNNNNNNNNNNNNNNCCCGACAGGGCAGGGAGGCUGUUUCCAAUCGACCCUCGGCUCAUAGGGUUAGGUGAAAAACAGUAGUAAAACAAACAGAAACAAAACAAAACAGAAACAAUAUAUCAUUAGUGCAUUAAGAAAUUCCAGCAUAAAUAGCGUUAGAAAUAAUCUGAACAAAAGAAACAAAAUACCAAAAUACAAUAACAAGUAAUUGUAUCGUACAUUAAACACAUAUCAUCUAUGAAUAACCCUGCUACCCCACCCCCAACUCCGGGAGGAGCGGACGAGGAACUCUAGGUGCCCCUAUCCUACAACCCUGAUACUGGACCUCCAGGCUUUCCUAUCAAGGGUCAUGUCCUCUGAAACCUGCAUUCUAGCCAUAUCCUGCCUAAUCACCUCUCCCCAAUACUUCUUGGGCCUCCCUCUGCCGCGCCGACCGCUAGCAAUCACCAGCCAUUCGCAGCUCCUCACCGGUGCAUCGGAACUUCUCCUCCGCACAUGCCCGAACCACCUCAGCCAUGCUUCGCGCAUCUUCUCGUCCACCGGGGCCACCCCCACCUUCUCCCGAAUAAUUUCAUUCCUAAUUUUAUCUAGCCUGGUACGCCCGCACAUCCACCUAAGCAUCCUCAUCUCCGCGACCCUCAUCCUCUGAACAUGGGAAUUCUUUACGGGCCAGCACUCCGCCUCAUACAGCAUCGCAGGUCUAACCACGGCUCUAUAGAAUUUCCCCUUGAGUUUGUGUGGAACUUUCCUGUCACAUAUGACUCCUGAUGCAAGCCUCCACUUAGCCCACCCUGCUCCUAUACGAUGCGUGACGUCCCCGUCAAAUUUUGUCUUUACUUAACAUCUCAAAUUUCAUCUACUGAAGCAUAUACCACUUAUAAGAUAAUACUUUCAUAGGGGACUUUAGCGCAAUCUCAAGUGAAAUGAUACCAAACCAAGUAUUCAAACAAAAUAGAGCAAACAAACUCGAAGAAUAAGUAGUAACCAAAUAACUAAGCAGAACAAGUUAAAUAAUUCCAAACGAAGUAAACUAAUUAUAAAUUCAAGCACUUACAUAUAAUCUGGAACGCAUUCGAACUUUUACAAUCGCAACAAUUCCUAAAACGCUGGCCAGAUGACAUCCUCGAUCAGCAGGACCAAGCUUCACCGGUAACCUCAGUGUAAUUGCGAUCGGACCUCGAAACUGGCCAGAUCUCUCGUGUAAUAAGAUCUCGCUGUGGUGAGAAUGGUUGCUGAUUUCAGUUAAACGAAGAGGAAUCAGCGCUAGAAGGGUGAUCGUUUGUUCUCUACUAUGUUUGCUUCUUCCAGCGAUUUCAAGGGGUUCAAAAUGUGGGUCAAAAGGAGGGAGCUUCAGGCGGGGUCGUCUUUGUUGCUGUAUAUGAUUAUGGUCGAUAAAAGAGCAGGGGUCGUUUGGAGGAGACGACACACAGGCAGGGGUAACGCCGACAAGAAGGGCUUCGAUGGGUUCUUCAGCAAGGAAUGAUCUUCAUGGAUCCUUUCUCGAAAAAACUGCACCGCCUUUUCGAUUUCCAGGCGUGUCUCCGCGUAGAUUGUGUGUACUGUGUGUAUUGUCUGUAUAUGUGUGUUUCUUCAAGACCACAAAGCCGCCUGCCUUGCUGAAGAAAAAUUUCAGGCAUCUAUAUUGUAUAGAUUGUGUGUAUUGUUCAGAAGAAUAGCAAAGUUGCGCCCCUUCAAUUUCCAGCCUCUAUCGUUUAUCUAUGUAUUUUGUUUUUGUAUUUUUCAGAAGAAGCAGCCCCAGUUGCGCCCUUCAAUUUUUCUGCCCUCUCUAUUGUCUUCUCUCUCGUAUAUGCGUAUAGGUUUUUACGUUAGGGUGGAUUUGGG